rnacentral:lncRNA from 1 species
GUUUUGAUUAUUUUCUAAAAAUCGCCAGCUUUGAUUAUUUUCCAUUCCUCAACAUUCAACUGUUAAGUGAUGAUUAUGAGCAAAGUCUCAUUUUCUCUCAAGUAUAUAUGUACUUGAGAUACUUGGACAUAUGCUUCAACUUCAAUUACGGUGCUCUGUCUAGGGACGGUACUAGCUUGAUCGAUAAUCGAAUUAUUGAGUGUCUCUAUGUAUAUAUCUCGCCUCUUCUCCCAUGGUCUCCAGACUUUUUACUGCCUCC